UACGUAGGCAGCGAGCGUUGUUCGGAAUUACUGGGCGUAAAGAGUGUGUAGGCGGUGCUCUAAGUUCGGUGUGAAAUCUCCUGGCUCAACUGGGAGGGUGCGCCGGAAACUGGAGUGCUUGAGCGUGGGAGAGGAAAGCGGAAUUCCUGGUGUAGCGGUGAAAUGCGUAGAUCUUGGAAAGACCACCAAUGGCGAAGGCACUCUACUGGGCCAUUACUGACACUAAGAGACGAAAGCUAGGGGAGCAAAUGGG
rnacentral:rRNA from 1 species